UAUUUAUAAACUGUAGCACAGAGGCAUACCAAUAAUUUUUAAAAAAAAUCUAUCAAAAAUAUUGACUAGAACAAAAUGUAUUUCAUCGGGAGACACUCUGUAUAAUAUACAGUAUAUAUUAUAUACAUAUAUUAUACUUAAAGGACCAUGAAAGGAAAAAAUUAAAAAUCGUUUUAUAUUUAAAAAAUAUAGUACUCAAUGUUAAAAAAAAAAUGGUGCAAACUAAAAAUAUUUUUUCUAAACAUUUCGUUGGAGAUAUACAGGCAUUUGCAGUAGACGUGUGACAUUAUAUAAUCUAUUCUCGUGGCAUUUAUACAAAUAAAUAUUACGUCUUCAACUUUAUCUACCCAUUAUUAUGAGCAUAAUAUUCAAUAUACCGAGUUGGG